CUCUUGUCAAAUGAUUGCUGACUGGUGGCCCUCUGAUAUCCAUACCUUGGCUCUUUUGAAGGCCCUAGGAGAAAAGCAGUUACAUGAUUUUACUUUGAAAACAUAAUUAUGUGGUGUUAUAAUGGACCUGUGAUGAGUUAUGAAGGCAGUCAACAGUAGCCCUGCCCUGGACUUACAGCUUUGGUUUGGUUCCAAGAAAGUUGCAUAUCAGUGAUAUUGGUCUUGAUCCCCAAAAGGAGGAAAAAUGAGUACUCCAAAGCUGCCAUUUGGUAACAUCAGAAAGAAGUUGGAGUUGCAACUAGACCAGUGAGUUUCUA